rnacentral:snoRNA from 1 species
UUUGGUGCUCGUGAUGACUUGAGACUUUUUUCCCCAUCAGAGCGGAAGUGUUGAAUUCUUUGCUAUUAGCCAGAACUUGUCUGACUGCACCAAU